rnacentral:rRNA from 1 species
AGUGAACGCUGGCGGUAGGCCUAACACAUGCAAGUCGAACGAACCUUCGGGUUAGUGGCGGACGGGUGAGUAACGCGUGGGAAUCUGCCCGCAGGAGGGGGAUAACGGCUGGAAACGGCCGCUAAUACCCCAUAUGCCGCGAGGUGAAAUGAAUUUCACCUGAGGAUGAGCCCGCGUCUGAUUAGCUAGUUGGUGGGGUAAAGGCCUACCAAGGCGACGAUCAGUAGCUGGUCUGAGAGGAUGAUCAGCCACACUGGGACUGAGACGCUGCCCAGACUCCUACGGGAGGCAGCAGUGGGGAAUUUUCCGCAAUUGGCGAAAGCCUGACGGAGCAACGCCGCGUGAGGGAUGAAGGCCUCUGGGCUGUAAACCUCUUUUCUCAAGGAAGAAGACCUGACGGUACUUGAGGAAUAAGCCACGGCUAAUUCCGUGCCAGCCGCCGCGGUAA